CGGAAGGAGAGAGAGGAAAGAGUACGAUCGAUCCGAUCCGAUCCGAUCCGAGAUCGAAGACUUCGAAUCUUUCUCGUGUUCUUCCGUUUCGGGGGAUGAAUCGAUACCGAUUUGCUCCGCGGAUUCCCCUACGGAUUCGAUUGGUGCCGUUCCCAGGUCCCGGAUGCCGGUGUCCUGAAUCAUCAAGACCAGCGAAUCAUUCCGAUCGCGGUACGUUUCCCUUUCACAGGGCAAUGCGAUUUGGCGGUUUUCUUUGAUUCCACCGCGGAAUCCCGUUGAGAUUGAUGUUGGUGACCUUCGAUUGCGGAGCGGAGUUCUUGAGUUUUCCGUUGGCUUCUGAAAGGUUUCGCAUCUCCUUACAGGUUCGGGAACACCGGUCGCGAAUAGUUUACGAGGUCGAGGGUUUUUUUGGGAUCUUAUUUAGAUUUACCGGGUUUAUGAGAAGAGGAUUAAUUAGAUGACAAGAAGCAAAGGCGAUUUGAGUCGAGAUCGAGUGCUUCUCGUAUUCUUCUUUGGGUGACACAACUGCGAAGACUUUGAAGAUUUUGUUGUGGUUGAAACUGAUGCGGGUUUCUAAAAACAGCAGAUUGAGGUGAACGGAUUUAUUUGGGGGGUUUCUGCGAUUGAGAGGAUCUUGCAGAGAUUGAUUUUCUUCGUCGAGAGAUAUAUCUAUGGGCCUUUGAAGGUAUUAGUCGCAGUUGAAUGUGAUGAAAAUUCUGGGUUUUCUGAAGCCAGACCGGUAGACUAUUACUAGACCUAAAAGAUUUAGUUGAAGAUUGUGUUAAAAAUUGCAAGAAUUUUAAUGGCCAAGGAUCUCGAGCAGAUCGAAAUAAAUUAAAGAUCUUGGAUAUGGGGAAGCAUCUGGUGCUACGAAUCAAGUGUCAAAUACUGCUAAUGGGGAGAAUAGAGAUCAUGAACUAAAGUUGGCAUGAGCAGCCGACAAAAUAUCAAUGGUACAAAAUUGCAAUUUAUUCAACCUGUAACAGAAGAGUAGAAAAAUGCUGUAUCGGGCAAUGUCUUUGGUGCUUGUUAUCCAUGGAAAGUUAUACUAAGGCUCGAUGGAGUAGAUUUGGGCAUGCCACUCUUUAUAUGCUCGAGCAAGAUUUUUUUUUUGUGUUUGAUGUUCAAGAUAAGGCAACUAAACAACUAGUGGUAGAGAUGGGACCUUAUUUUUUUGGCUGUAAGCCUUUGGUUUCAAAGCCUUGGGGACCUGUUUUUGUUAUGAAAGAAGAGAAGAUAAUAUUAUACCUAUACGGAUCAGUUACAAGGAGUGCCUUUGUUCUUUGAUCAGUUUACAUUUAGAAAGGAGAGACUUUUCGUUUGCUUGAAGUUGUGUGGAGAUCAGUUACCUCAAAGCUGUUCAGGUUUUCAAUGGUGAUAUUUGUCGAUCAACCUACUGCUUAUGAAUGGGCACCUUUAAGUUGUAAAUUCUGCAGUUGUUUGGGUGAUAUUUAAUGAUAAAUGUAAGAAGGGGUCUCAAAUUAUUGGUAUAAGGCAGAAGAAGAAAUCUGUUAUCGAUAAUAAUCUUAGAACUAUGCUUUUACAGCAUGAAAUUUAUAACCACUUGGGGUUUCAUAUAUUAACUAUAUCUUCUGCUUGCCAGAUAAGCUUUCAACUGCAUAUAGAAGUAUGGUGCCCUAAAACAAGAUUGCUAUAUUAGUUAUCAGCACUCUCUUCACCAUAUGGAGAGAGAGAGAGAGAGAACCUUGCAUCAAUUUUAUGUGUUUAUUAUACUUCCAUCAAAUGACCGGAUCUAUUGUGUGAAAGGACUUACCAGUUUGGCUCCUAGUUCUUUUAAAGCACCAGUCAGAUUCAACUCCAUGACUUUUGCAGACGUUCCAACAAGAGCUAGUAACCAUCCAGCAUCUAGUUUCAAUUCAGGAUCUCCAACCUCUUUUGCUGCUUAUACUGAACAUUAAACAGUUACGUGGAUCCUUGAUGUUAUGGAAGUUCCAGAAAAUUUCCACCAAAUCAAGCUCCAAAAGUGCCUUACAUGUAUAAUCAACCUAUAAGAAGGGAUGGGUACAGCACAAGGUUUUCUCAGGUGGACUAUAGAAGGGUUACAUUUACGAGAAAAAUCCCAGUUACGCCUCUAAUUGCUGACAGAGUUGAUGCUACUGAAUACCAUCAAACUGGAAGUUUUUUCAACUGUCCCUCUUCCUCUUGCUCAGAUAGCACAAAUGUUAUUUCAAGUACUGAAUUCUUGUUUUGGACACCAUAAACAUGCUAGCCAGCUACGGGAAUGAUAAAAGCAAUUAUAUUGCUGGCGAUGGACUGCAGAAGAAAUCAAGACUUUGGCAUAAUGACGAAUAUCAUUCUCAAUUCAUGUCAACUUGGUUCUUUGCUUCAAGAAAUAUAACUUAUGAUUUUUAUUCAACCUAUAAGACUUCUGAUCCAAGAAUGACAGAACGGUGGAACCAUUUUGUUGCACCCAUGGAACCCCAGUGACAGGUUACAUCCUCAGGCUAGUCACCUUAGAAUAGUUGGUUAAACGAUUUUGUUGUUAGGUUAUGUGUCUUAUUUAUACUUUUAGUUUGUGUUCAUGAGAUGAACCAGCUCACGACAAGAGGCAUGUUUAUGGUGGUACCAUGGCGAUACUGCAUAUUUUCUCCAUUUCAAUCAGAACAGAAAUGCAAGUGGUCAUCUGCCUGCUUUUCAAUGUCGUUCCAUCCGAGUUAUGGUGCCAGCUCAAAGUAGCCACACCCAGAUGGUAAUCCCUUAUAACACCAUUUCAAGCUAUUCAUGCAUGGGGGGUGUCGAUUGCAUCUGAUAAUUGAGUGCCGAUAGGAGUGGAAGCAGGUGCACCUUCCAGACAAUUGUGGCUACUGCUUAUCCUAGGGAAUAUCAUAGAGCUUUUCAUCAGAGAUCCCAAUCUAUGUUCAAUGAACACAAUGAACACAGUCGAUGGGUCAGCCUUUUACAGGUCGAUAGAUCUGUUUGAUCAGCACAGGAACAUGAGAAUGAAUAUGGACAACAUUUGCUAUGUGAGUUAUUUUCUGCAGGAAUUACUUGCUUUGGAUUAAAGGAUAGGAAAUGCCAGUACAGUCUUGUCGGAAGUGACAGCUUCAAGGUGCAUGAUGGAGACAGCCUACCUUUUUUCUCAUCAAAUCCAGGAGGAAGGAAACUGUCAUAUGCCCGGUAAAGACUAAUAUCCGUAACCCAGUUUAUACACAAUUCCUGCUGCCAAUAAUCUUGGAAGACUUGGACCAAGAUUACAUUUGUAGGAAGAGUAUAAGGAGAGGGAGAAAUGGGGAAGACUUCCAUGUUAGCUGCAUGUGGAAGCCAAUAAAGAACGGUUGCCCGGUUUGCAACGACUCUGCUUUUAUUGGACCUUAGGAGAAGGCAACGAUUCUUUGUAAUUUAGCUUAGGCUAUUGGUGUCAUUUUGUUCUUUUAAGCUUUUGUUCUUGAAGGGCUAUUAGAAUGUCAGAAUUUGGAAAUAAGCUCAAACUUCUUUAAUUAAGGUCAAUUUGUGGUAAAAGCUCUUUCUCGGAGUCUAGCAGUUGAUGUUGAACUUGAGAUAAGACAUUUUGGA